rnacentral:sRNA from 1 species
AUUAAUAUUUUGAAUGUCUAUCAUUUUCUUAUGUUAAUUAUGCAAAGAAAUGAUAUGGUAACCAAUCAUCAGGUUCUUUCAGACUAAAUCCCUAUGUUUCUUUUUUUUUUUUUUUAAACCAUGAUUUUCCUUUUGUCCUUGAUUUUCUAUAGUGAUUGCGGCAAGCAACUGAAAAACGCAGAGAUAAUUAAGUUGUAAUGUGCUCAGAUUUACAGGUUGGUGGAAAUGAAACGAUCAACAUGUUUGAGAGGUCUUGUGAUUACCUUAUGUGCUUUCUAUCACCGUGACAUUCUUCUGCAUGAACAUCAAAGUUUUGAAGGUUCUUAUAAGUAGCGAGGGGAAGCUUUGAAGGCAUAUUCAUGGUGGCUUUGUGGCAAAUGGCAUUGCACUCAUACAGAGCAAAUACCUAGGAAAUUUUGCAUACAAUAUGCGCCUGACUGAUUUUUCCUAAUCUUUUAAGUAGUGAUUGAAAAUUGGAUAUUUGUCGUAAACCAAAUUUGGAACUAGGGAAUGUAUUGAAAAUCCAUUGAUUGCAUGAAUUGAUUGAAAUGUGCAAAGUCCUUGAAAAGUGGAAAAGAACAUUGCUAAGAAGCAGCUGAAUCUCGGUAAAAGUGAUUAUUGAUUUUACUUGCAGAUGUAUAUAACACUACUAUCUGUGUAUAAAAUUCAUUUGGAC